rnacentral:rRNA from 1 species
GCCCCGGUAAACGGCGGCCGUAACUAUAACGGUCCUAAGGUAGCGAAAUUCCUUGUCGGGUAAGUUCCGACCUGCACGAAUGGCGUAAUGAUGGCCAGGCUGUCUCCACCCGAGACUCAGUGAAAUUGAACUCGCUGUGAAGAUGCAGUGUACCCGCGGCAAGACGGAAAGACCCCGUGAACCUUUACUAUAGCUUGACACUGAACAUUGAGCCUUGAUGUGUAGGAUAGGUGGGAGGCUUUGAAGUGUGGACGCCAGUCUGCAUGGAGCCGACCUUGAAAUACCACCCUUUAAUGUUUGAUGUUCUAACGUGGGCCCGUAAUCCGGGUUGCGGACAGUGUCUGGUGGGUAGUUUGACUGGGGCGGUCUCCUCCUAAAGAGUAACGGAGGAGCACGAAGGUUGGCUAAUCCUGGUCGGACAUCAGGAGGUUAGUGCAAUGGCAUAAGCCAGCUUGACUGCGAGCGUGACGGCGCGAGCAGGUGCGAAAGCAGGUCAUAGUGAUCCGGUGGUUCUGAAUGGAAGGGCCAUCGCUCAACGGAUAAAAGGUACUCCGGGGAUAACAGGCUGAUACCGCCCAAGAGUUCAUAUCGACGGCGGUGUUUGGCACCUCGAUGUCGGCUCAUCACAUCCUGGGGCUGAAGUAGGUCCCAAGGGUAUGGCUGUUCGCCAUUUAAAGUGGUACGCGAGCUGGGUUUAGAACGUCGUGAGACAGUUCGGUCCCUAUCUGCCGUGGGCGCUGGAGAACUGAGGGGGGCUGCUCCUAGUACGAGAGGACCGGAGUGGACGCAUCACUGGUGUUCGGGUUGUCAUGCCAAUGGCACUGCCCGGUAGCUAAAUGCGGAAGAGAUAAGUGCUGAAAGCAUCUAAGCACGAAACUUGCC